rnacentral:piRNA from 1 species
UAGUCAUCUAUAGUCCUAAUGCCCCAC